GUUAAUAUAAAUACACUACUGACCGACUCUCUUUGGUGGAGUGGCACUGUCACUUUAGAUUUUGAACUUCAUUCACUUUACUAUUCAUAUCCACGUAUUAUAGAGCUAUUAACAUUGAACUUAUGCAUCUAUAGACAUCCUGUCUAAAGAUUCUUACUUAUGGAAAAAUUCCUGCACUGUCACUUUAAGAUUCUGAAAUUUAUUCACAUAAUCACUGUCACUUUAAGACCUAG